GACUGGUCUCAAGGUAGUGAGUUAUCUCGAUUGUUCACAGUCAGUUACAGGUUGAAAUCCUUGUUCUACUCUUUCUUCCCUUAUCACUACUAACACUCUACUAGUCUUAA
rnacentral:Y_RNA from 1 species